CUGUUUAAAGCCAACCCACUCAUUUCAGACUUAAGAAAUCAGCUCUUGAAAAUUCUCAGAAAUUUUAAUAUGCUUGUCAGGAAUCUGUGGGCCUCCUUGAAUUUUCCUAUAAAAAUCUAAAUACCCCAGCUAUAAUUUUGAGAUAUCCUCUUCGCUCUACAUAAGCUAGGUUCAUCUCCUGACAGGCUGAAUCAGAAAGACUCCAGAUUCGGGGACUCCAAGCACAGCCGGACUAUGAGGUAUCAUGCUGAGGCAGGAAGUUUUAAAGGAGCAAAAACACCUGGGCAGAAAUAAGCGCACACAAACGUAGUUAACUUAUCUUUGACGAAGGAGCAAAGACAAUAUAAUGGAGGAAACAUAGUCUUUUCAACAAAUGGUGCUGUCAAUAUAUACUCCCACCAACACUAUAGGGGUAUACAAGAAGGUAAUCAAUAAAAGACUUUCAAAAAUAAAAAUGUAACACGUCAGAACAAAAUUCACUCUGGGAUCCAGUAUGAUGGAACAAUCUUUAUCUAGAUUGUUACCAGAGGGAACAGAAUGCUGCUUUCCCUUUGAGUUGACUCAACGUUUCUGUUCAGAAGUGACCGUCACCUUUUCUCACGUUUCAUUGGCCAAAGCAGAUCACAAAGCUGACGUUAAUGCUCGACUGUUCCCAAGAGGAGAAGUGAAUAUUUUUGAAUAAUAAUAUAAUCUCACACAGAUGUCAGCUUAAAAAUACAUGGAUACAUACAUUUUCAAAGUUAUUUCAGCAGAUAUAUGAGCAAAAACUUUGAAGACUACUGAGUUACAGCAAAUAACACCGUCUUAUU
rnacentral:lncRNA from 1 species